GACGAACGCUGGCGGCGUGCCUAAUACAUGCAAGUCGAACGCAGUGGGGACGGGUGUGUAACACGUGGGUAACCUCCCAUCAGAGGGGAUAACACGUGGAAACAGGUGCUAAACCUAUACUGAUGGAUGGACCCGCUGUGAAUUAGCUAGUUGGGGAGGGAACGGCUCACCCAGGCCACGAUCCAUCGCCGCCCGGGAAGGGUGAUCGGCCAAACUGGGACUGAGACACGGCCCAGACGCCUACGGGAGGCAGCAGUAGGGAAUCUUCGGCAAUGGACGAAAGUCGUACCUGGCAACGCCGCGUGAGUGAAGAAGUUUUUCGGAUCGUAAGACUCUGUUGUUAGGGAAGCGGUAUCUAACCAGAAAGCCACGGCUAACUACGUGCCAGCCGCCGCGGUAAUUC
rnacentral:rRNA from 1 species